rnacentral:rRNA from 1 species
UACAGAGGGUGCGAGCGUUGUCCGGAAUCACUGGGCGUAAAGGGCGCGUAGGCGGUUUGGCAAGUCUAUGGUGAAAGCUCGCCGCUCAACGGCGAGUCGGCCACGGAUACUGCUGAACUGGAGCAUAGUAGAGGCAGGUGGAAUUCCGGGUGUAGCGGUGGAAUGCGUAGAGAUCCGGAAGAACACCGGUGGCGAAGGCGGCCUGCUGGGCUAUGGCUGACACUGAGGCGCGACAGCGUGGGGAGCAAACAGG